rnacentral:misc_RNA from 1 species
CCAAAUGUCCGGCCCUUCGGGGCCAGGCGGGAUCCGGCAACCCCGAAAGGGCGAGCCGAACCCCUACACCCUUUGUGAAAAACCCAAGUUGCUUCGGCAGCUCGCCCUUCCCUUAACCGGGAAAAGGCGGUCAGCCUGCCGACAGCCCCCAAUGAAACCCUUUACAAGUUAGUAUAUACAAUGUCUGACCAAAAUGUCGAAUGACUAUA